UACGUAGGGGGCAAGCGUUGUCCGGAAUCAUUGGGCGUAAAGCGCGCGUAGGCGGCCAGACCAGUCCGGUGUGAAAGUCACAGGCUCAACCUGUGAAUGCCGCUGGAAACUGUCUGGCUAGAGUCCGGAAGGGGCGAGUGGAAUUCCUGGUGUAGCGGUGAAAUGCGCAGAUAUCAGGAGGAACACCUAUGGCGAAGGCAGCUCGCUGGGACGGUACUGACGCUGAGGCGCGAAAGCGUGGGGAGCGAACAGG
rnacentral:rRNA from 1 species